rnacentral:rRNA from 1 species
CCUACGGGUGGCUGCAGUGAGGAAUAUUGGUCAAUGGUCGGGAGACUGAACCAGCCAAGCCGCGUGAGGGAUGAAGGUACAGAGUAUCGUAAACCUCUUUUGUCAGGGAACAAAGGCGGGGACGUGUCCCCGGAUGAGUGUACCUGAAGAAAAAGCAUCGGCUAAAUCCGUGCCAGCAGCCGCGGUAAUACGGGGGAUGCGAGCGUUAUCCGGAUUUAGUGGGUUUAAAGGGUGCGUAGGCGGUCUGUUAAGUCAGCGGUAAAAGCCCGGGGCUCAACCCCGGCCCGCCGUUGAAACUGGCAGUCUCGAGUUGGAGAGAAGUAUGCGGAAUGCGCGGUGUAGCGGUGAAAUGCAUAGAGAUCGCGCAGAACUCCGAUUGCGAAGGCAGCAUGCCGGCUCCACACUGACGCUGAGGCACGAAAGCGUGGGUAUCGAACAGGAUUAGAUACCCUGGUAGUC